AUAGAGCCUUAGUAGUAUAGCUAAUAC
rnacentral:tRNA from 1 species